GAUGAACGCUAGCUACAGGCUUAACACAUGCAAGUCGAGGGGAAACGACAUCGAAAGCUUGCUUUUGAUGGGCGUCGACCGGCGCACGGGUGAGUAACGCGUAUCCAACCUGCCCACCACUUGGGGAUAACCUUGCGAAAGUAAGACUAAUACCCAAUGACGUCUCUAGAAGACAUCUGAAAGAGAUUAAAGAUUUAUCGGUGAUGGAUGGGGAUACGUCUGAUUAGCUUGUUGGCGGGGUAACGGCCCACCAAGGCGACGAUCAGUAGGGGUUCUGAGAGGAAGGUCCCCCACAUUGGAACUGAGACACGGUCCAAACUCCUACGGGAGGCAGCAGUGAGGAAUAUUGGUCAAUGGACGAGAGUCUGAACCAGCCAAGUAGCGUGCAGGAUGACGGCCCUAUGGGUUGUAAACUGCUUUUAGAAGGGAAUAAAGUGAGUCUCGUGAGACUUUUUGCAUGUACCUUAUGAAUAAGGACCGGCUAAUUCCGUG
rnacentral:rRNA from 1 species